rnacentral:rRNA from 1 species
CAGCAGCCACGGGAAUACGAAGGGUGCAAGCGUUAAUCGGAAUUACUGGGCGUAAAGCGUGCGUAGGCGGUUUGUUAAGUCUGUUGUGAAAUCCCCGGGCUCAACCUGGGAAUGGCAAUGGAUACUGGCAAGCUAGAGUGUGUCAGAGGAUGGUGGAAUUUCCGGUGUAGCAGUGAAGUGCGUAGAGAUCGGAAGGAACAUCUGUGGCGAAGGCGACUAUCUGGGCCAACACUGACACUGAGGCACGAAAGCGUGGGGAGCAAACAGGAUUAGAUACCCGCGUAGUCCCUGUCUCUUAUAC